GAGCCGUUAGCUCAGUCGGCAGAGCACUGGAUUUUUAAUCCAGGUGUCCCGGGUUCGAGCCCCGGACGGCUCACCA
rnacentral:tRNA from 1 species